rnacentral:rRNA from 1 species
CCAGGGGUGCUGCAGUGGGGAAUAUUGGACAAUGGGCGAAAGCCUGAUCCAGCCAUGCCGCGUGUGUGAAGAAGGCCUUCGGGUUGUAAAGCACUUUCAGUGGGGAAGAAAGCCUUGGGGCUAAUACCCUCGAGGAAGGACAUCACCCACAGAAGAAGCACCGGCUAACUCCGUGCCAGCAGCCGCGGUAAUACGGAGGGUGCGAGCGUUAAUCGGAAUUACUGGGCGUAAAGCGCGCGUAGGCGGUCUGAUAAGCCGGUUGUGAAAGCCCCGGGCUCAACCUGGGAACGGCAUCCGGAACUGUCAGGCUAGAGUGCAGGAGAGGAAGGUAGAAUUCCCGGUGUAGCGGUGAAAUGCGUAGAGAUCGGGAGGAAUACCAGUGGCGAAGGCGGCCUUCUGGACUGACACUGACGCUGAGGUGCGAAAGCGUGGGUAGCAAACAGGAUUAGAUACCCCAGUAGUC